UACAGAGGGGGCAAGCGUUGUUCGGAAUUACUGGGCGUAAAGGGCGCGUAGGCGGCCUUCUAAGUCGAACGUGAAAUCCCCGGGCUCAACCCGGGAACUGCGUCCGAUACUGGAAGGCUUGAAUCCGGGAGAGGGAUGUGGAAUUCCAGGUGUAGCGGUGAAAUGCGCAGAUAUCAGGAGGAACACCGGUGGCGAAGGCGGGUCUCUGGGCCGAAACUGACGCUGAGGAGCGAAAGCGUGGGGAGCGAACAGG
rnacentral:rRNA from 1 species